rnacentral:rRNA from 1 species
GGAGUCUGGUCCGUGUCUCAGUACCAGUGUGGGGGACCUUCCUCUCAGAACCCCUAAGGAUCGUCGGCUCGGUGGGCCGUUACCCCGCCGACUGCCUAAUCCUACGCAUCCCCAUCCCUUAGCGAUAAAUCUUUGGUAUUCGUCAGAUGUCCUCAAAAUACAACAUAGAGUAUUAAUCCGACUUUCGCCGGGCUAUCCUCUACUAAGGGGAAGGUUGGAUACGCGUUACUCACCCGUGCGCCGGUCGCCAGCGACAAUAGCAAGCUAUCGUCCUGCUGCCCCUCGACUUGCAUGUGUUAAGCCUGUAGCUAGCGUUCAUC